GUCUAUGGUCAUACCAACCUGAAUGUGCCCAGGCUCAUUUGGUCUUGGAAGCUAAGCAGGGUUGGGCCUGGCUAGUACUUUGACGGGAAAAAGAUCUUCAGAGGUG
rnacentral:rRNA from 1 species